UACGUAGGGUGCGAGCGUUGUCCGGAAUUAUUGGGCGUAAAGAGCUCGUAGGCGGUGUGUCACGUCGGCCGUGAAAACCUGCAGCUUAACUGUGGGCGUGCGGUCGAUACGGGCAUCACUGGAGUUCGGCAGGGGAGACUGGAAUUCCUGGUGUAGCGGUGAAAUGCGCAGAUAUCAGGAGGAACACCGGUGGCGAAGGCGGGUCUCUGGGACGGUACUGACGCUGAGACGCGAAAGCGUGGGGAGCAAACAGG
rnacentral:rRNA from 1 species